rnacentral:rRNA from 1 species
UACGUAGGUGGCGAGCGUUGUCCGGAUUUACUGGGCGUAAAGCGCGCGCAGGCGGACUGAUCAGUCUGGGGUGAAAUCUCACGGCUCAACUGUGAGCGGUCCCUGGAUACUGUCAGCCUUGAGAUGUCUAGAGGAGAGCGGAAUUCCCGGUGUAGUGGUGGAAUGCGUAGAUAUCGGGAAGAACACCAGUGGCGAAAGCGGCUCUCUGGGGACCAUCUGACGCUGAGGCGCGAAAGCGUGGGUAGCAAACAGG